CCUACGGGAGGCAGCAGUGGGGAAUAUUGCACAAUGGGGGGAACUCUGAUGCAGCAACGCCGCGUGGGUGAAGAAGUACUUCGGUAUGUAAAGCCCUGUCAGCAGGGAAGAAAAUGACGGUACCUGACCAAGAAUCCCCGGCUAACUACGUGCCAGCAGCCGCGGUAAUACGUAGGGGGCAAGCGUUAUCCGGAUUUACUGGGUUUAAAGGGAGCGUAGACGGCAAGGCAAGUCUGGAGUGAAAGCCCGUGGCUCAACCACGGAACUGCUUUGGAAACUGUGUUGCUGGAGUGCAGGAGGGGUAAGCGGAAUUCCUAGUGUAGCGGUGAAAUGCGUAGAUAUUAGGAGGAACACCGGUGGCGAAGGCGGCUUACUGGACUGUAACUGACGUUGAGGCUCGAAGGCGUGGGGAGCAAACAGGAUUAGAUACCCUGGUAGUC
rnacentral:rRNA from 1 species